UACGUAGGGUGCGAGCGUUGUCCGGAAUUACUGGGCGUAAAGAGCUCGUAGGUGGUUUGUCGCGUUGUUCGUGAAAACUCACAGCUUAACUGUGGGCGUGCGGGCGAUACGGGCAGACUGGAGUACUGCAGGGGAGACUGGAAUUCCUGGUGUAGCGGUGGAAUGCGCAGAUAUCAGGAGGAACACCGGUGGCGAAGGCGGGUCUCUGGGCAGUAACUGACGCUGAGAAGCGAAAGCAUGGGUAGCAAACAGG
rnacentral:rRNA from 1 species